AAAAUUCUACAUGUAUAGUGAAAGAAGCUACCUUCUUAAGCAAUUUACGCUUGAGGUUCGUUCGUCUAUAUUUCUAACAAAGUAAAUUUAAAUAAACAAAGAUAUUACAUGAUUUUAUAAAAAAGUGUUGCUGUCAUGGUUUUCAUAUGUUAACUUGAAACUAUAGCUACAAAGAUAAGCUAAAUAAUUGAAAAUUUGUAUUUUUAGUAACAUGGUAUGUUUACUCUCGUACUAUCUUACUCCAUCAGUUCGUUUUUAGAUUGUGUAGUUUAAUUGUUCUUAAUUUGAUCUUUGACCGUAAUUUUUCCUAUAGUAUUUUUUUAAUAGUUACAAAAUAAUACGGAAAGUGUUUAAGUACGAAUAAAAAUGGUCUUUGACUACAAAUUUUCCUACAAUUCACAUUUUAUUAGAUUUAAUGUUACUCAAAUCGUCAUUUUGGAUUGCCCCCCCCC
rnacentral:lncRNA from 1 species